UUUUUAGAAGAGCAUACAAUUUACACACUAUAAGAAGAAUCAAAACAUAUUGUCUUUUCUAACUUUGCAAAAAGAAAAAACAUGGCUAAAAUUCACAUGUUUAUUUAUGCCAUGAUAAUAUUUCUUUCUCUAUCUCUUGUUGCAGCAGUACUCCGUAAGACUUAUUUUUUAUACUUUUCAAAAUUCUUUAUUUAUGUUUAAGUAAUAUAAUUGUAUUCUCACUAUUUUAAUUGCAGCACUUGAACGUGAAUGUAACAUUGAUGAAGAUUGUACAAAGGUGGUUGAAUAUCCUUUGGUUAUGAGGUGCAUUGGUUACAAAUGUGUAGUUCUUUUAACUAAUAAUCAUGGUAGUAAAUAUUUGUAGUAAAUGGAUACUAAUAAAUAAUCUCUUCUACAAGAAAAAUAUUUGUAAUAAAUGGAUACUAAUAAUUGUUAUUUUUACUUAUAUUUUAUUUUCUAAUUUUAUAAACCUCAAAGAUAUCUUAGACUGUCUUCU
rnacentral:lncRNA from 1 species